CCUACGGGGCGCUGCAGUGGGGAAUAUUGGACAAUGGGCGAAAGCCUGAUCCAGCCAUGCCGCGUGUGUGAAGAAGGCCUUCGGGUUGUAAAGCACUUUCAGUGGGGAAGAAAGCCUUGGGGCUAAUACCCUCGAGGAAGGACAUCACCCACAGAAGAAGCACCGGCUAACUCCGUGCCAGCAGCCGCGGUAAUACGGAGGGUGCGAGCGUUAAUCGGAAUUACUGGGCGUAAAGCGCGCGUAGGCGGUCUGAUAAGCCGGUUGUGAAAGCCCCGGGCUCAACCUGGGAACGGCAUCCGGAACUGUCAGGCUAGAGUGCAGGAGAGGAAGGUAGAAUUCCCGGUGUAGCGGUGAAAUGCGUAGAGAUCGGGAGGAAUACCAGUGGCGAAGGCGGCCUUCUGGACUGACACUGACGCUGAGGUGCGAAAGCGUGGGUAGCAAACAGGAUUAAUACCCGUGUAGUC
rnacentral:rRNA from 1 species